CAGGGUAUACUGGAUUUAUACCUCACCUCUCCUGGACCCUGGGUACAAGUUACAUUCCAGGAGUUGAAAAAUGCAUGGAUGAGUUUGAAAACUGUCAGAGCCAGAAAAGAAACAAACUUGGCACUGCCUACUGGCCUAGUAAUAAAAUUUAUACUGCAUCUGGUUUAAUACCGAACUACACAGGCUAUGUACCCGGUUUAAGAGACAGCUUAGGAGAAACAUUUGGAAACAGCACAAGACAUCUUUACCAUCAGUAUCUGUGAUAAACUACAUAAACACCAAGGCAAGCUACUAUGAAAACUGCUUUAAUUGUGGUGUAAGAUCUGUACAGCAUGUAACGUAACAGAAGAGAACGAGCAAACACAAAUAAAAGACAAACAUUAGAAAACAGGAGUUGCAUGAACAGUUCUUGAAAGCUUAUAAAUUAAAA